GCAAAUUAUGGUGGAAAAUAAGUAUUUGGUCAAUAACAAAAGUUUAUCUCAAUACUUUGUCAUAUACUCUUUGUUGGCAAUGACAGAGGUCAAACAUUUUCUGUAAGUCUUCACAAGGUUUUCCUGAACAUGGGGGUUGUUUCCAGAGACUCAAGGUACAACAGCUGUACUGUGUUGGAGCCAGUAAGGAGUUCUGGCAGCACAAACAUAAUGUCUCUAGGUUUCUCCCUAGGUUCCUGACUUUCUAGGGAGUUUUUCCUAGCCACUGUGCUUCUACACCUGAAUUGCUUGCUGUCUGGGGUUUUAGGCUGUGUUUCUGUACAGCACUUUGUGACAUCAGCUGAUAUAAAAUGGGCUUUAUAAAUACAUUUGAUUGAAUGAAUCCAUCGACAGACUACUUCGUAAGUUAUCAAUUUUGUAAGGUUGAGAAAUUAGAAACUAUUAAGAGGAAGGAUGUUUGUAAAUGUAUGUAGAAAAUGGGUCAUAUCUUCAGAAGAUUCUCACAUUGUUUGUGAUACAAAUGUAAAAAGCAUAUUUCCCCAAUAAAGCUUCUAUGUGAGAAUUGCCAGACAACUCUGGGACACCCACACUGGUGUAAAGUCACCCUAAUUACAUACAAUAGACAUUUAAAAUCAUACCACACCGCACGCUUUGCAAAAUAAAUGUACACAUACAUGUUAUUCAAUAAUUGCAUCCAAACUGCUUGCGAGCGUCUGAGUAGACAGGCGUUAAAAUAGAACUUGGUUAAAUUUGUGACACUUGACACGCUGCAAGUUCCAUCUCUCCCAUCUCCUUAUUGUUUUUUAGGAGCAUAUACCCACGUGGGUGAUUGAAAGAUGAACUCCAGUGCAGUUGGUGGUGGUAAUGCACCUUAAAGUUGGUUGUCAACCGCCAUAUAAAGUUCAAAGAAGAAGAAGACCGAAGGAGAAGAGAUGACAAGAAACAAACUCGGUUGACGGUUUUAUCUCUGGAUUAAUUGUCAGAGUAGAGGACCUUGUGCAUUUCAGGUAAAAUAACAACACAAUGUUUAUAUCCCAGGACAAAUUUGCUAGCAAUAGCAAGCUAGCUAGCUAAAUGGCCAUACAUUUUUAAUUAUUUUCGACCUGUCCCCAAAUUAAUAUAGUUGGUUCAGAGUUUGUUUUGAUAUUUCAACCUGUGUGUCCUGAUUGAGUCUGAUAUGGAUGGACAAAAACCAACAUGUGCGCAAUGUCGUGCAUGCUCAGUCUAGUCAGCAUUGUGCCCAGUACUGUUCUUAUACAGCAAUGGAGAAUGAGACCAAGGAAAGCCUCUCCGCCGUGACCAUCGACAGAAGGGAGGAGCUCCUGCAGAAUGGAGAAAGAGGGCUUCAUAAGGACAAUGGACAAGCUGGUGACCCAAGUCCCACUGACUGAAGUUUGUACUGAUGCCCAAAUGUCUUCCCUAAGGAGUAAGUUGUUUCUUUUGAAUUUAACAAUACACAACUAGACAACAGACAAUACAUGGCUCCAACAGUAUAAACUUAUAGAAAUUCAAGAAUAGUCAUUUCAUCUCUUGAAUUUCAGUUUUUCAGAACCAGAGACGGUACAUGGAGCUGGAACUUCAUGAGGAAGUAAUGCAAUCAUCACUUUGCUUGGUUUCAUUUAGUUGAUGUUUCAACUGAAAUGCCUAUUGAGAUAAUUCUCUUAACCCCUCAAAACAUAGUUUAAAAAAGGCUGGGCAGCAGGCAGGGUACUCCACCAUUCUCCAGUGGAGUAAGGACAUAGUCAACCACUUCUCCAGUAAGGACAUAGUCAACCACUCCUCCAGUAAGGAUAUAGUCAAUCACUUCUCCAGUAAGGACAUAGUCAACCACUUCUCCAGUAAGGACAUAGUCAACCACUUCUCCAGUAAGGAUAUAGUCAAUCACUUCUCCAGUAAGGACAUAGUCAACCACUUCUCCAGUAAGGACAUGGUCAACCACUUCUCCAGUAAGGACAUAGUCAACCACUUCUCCAGUAAGGUCAUAGUCAACCACUUCUCCAGUAAGGACAUAGUCAACCACUUCUCCAGUAAGGACACAGUCAACCACUUCUCCAGUA
ensembl:lncRNA